GUACACGAGCGGCGAACGGGUGAGUAACACGUGGGUGAUCUGCCCUGUACUUCGGGAUAAGCCUGGGAAACUGGGUCUAAUACCGGAUAUGACCCUGGACUGCAUGGUGUGGGGUGGAAAGAUUUAUCGGUACAGGAUGGGCCCGCGGCCUAUCAGCUUGUUGGUGGGGUAACGGCCUACCAAGGCGACGACGGGUAGCCGACCUGAGAGGGUGACCGGCCACACUGGGACUGAGACACGGCCCAGACUCCUACGGGAGGCAGCAGUGGGGAAUAUUGCACAAUGGGCGAAAGCCUGAUGCAGCGACGCCGCGUGGGGGAUGACGGCCUUCGGGUUGUAAACCCCUUUCGACAGGGACGAAGCGCAAGUGACGGUACCUGUAGAAGAAGCACCGGCCAACUACGUGCCAGCAGCCGCGGUAAUACGUAGGGUGCGAGCGUUGUCCGGAAUUACUGGGCGUAAAGAGCUUGUAGGCGGUCUGUCGCGUCUUCUGUGAAAACUUGGGGCUCAACCUUAAGCUUGCAGGGGAUACGGGCAGACUAGAGUACUUCAGGGGAGACUGGAAUUCCUGGUGUAGCGGUGAAAUGCGCAGAUAUCAGGAGGAACACCGGUGGCGAAGGCGGGUCUCUGGGAAGUAACUGACGCUGAGAAGCGAAAGCAUG
rnacentral:rRNA from 1 species